rnacentral:rRNA from 1 species
GAUGAACGCUGGCGGCGUGCUUAACACAUGCAAGUCGAACGAUGAAGCCCCUGCUUGCAGGGGUGGAUUAGUGGCGAACGGGUGAGUAACACGUGAGCAACCUGCCCCUGACUCUGGGAUAAGCGCUGGAAACGGUGUCUAAUACUGGAUAUGUGCCACGGCCGCAUGGUCUGUGGUUGGAAAGAUUUUUCGGUUGGGGAUGGGCUCGCGGCCUAUCAGCGUGUUGGUGAGGUAAUGGCUCACCAAGGCGUCGACGGGUAGCCGGCCUGAGAGAGGGACCGGCCACACUGGGACUGCGACACGGCCCAGACUCCUACGGGAGGCAGCAGUGGGGAAUAUUGCACACUGGGCGGAAGCCUGAUGCAGCAACGCCGCGUGAGGGAUGACGGCCUUCGGGUUGUAAACCUCUUUUAGCAGGGAAGAAGCGAAAGUGACGGUACCUGCAGAAAAAGCACCGGCUAACUACGUGCCAGCCGCCGCCGUAACAC